rnacentral:rRNA from 1 species
UACGGAGGGUGCAAGCGUUAUCCGGAUUCACUGGGUUUAAAGGGUGCGUAGGCGGGUAAGUAAGUCCGUGGUGAAAUCUCUGAGCUUAACUCAGAAACUGCCGUGGAUACUAUUUGCCUUGAAUAUUGUGGAGGUGAGCGGAAUAUGUCAUGUAGCGGUGAAAUGCUUAGAUAUGACAUAGAACACCAAUUGCGAAGGCAGCUCACUACACAAUCAUUGACGCUGAGGCACGAAAGCGUGGGGAUCAAACGGG